AAACCGUUGCUUUUAAAUGUAUUUACAUACAACGAAAAUCUGUAUUGGGUAAAAUAUACUUUUGUUUCGCUUUUUAAAUCGUAUUUAAUUAUUUUCAAACUUAUAUUGUAACGAGAGUGAUUACUGUUAAUUUGUACAUACAUACACGUCACACACGUCACGCAUACGUAUAUCAGAUUAGCGGAAAGCUUUAUCAUCGCGAUCGAAAAGCUAUAUCAUCGGACUGGCAAGAGAUCGUACGAACUAACACCAAAUAGGUACAUCGCACGUUGCAGUGGAUUUAGCUUUGUGUCUUUCUCGUUGUUUUCUUAUACCCAUCUUGUAUAGACCGAUCUGAUAUACCUGCUGUAACUGUUAGAAGAAAAUAGACCUAUAAAAAUAUAUUAAAUAACAGAGUAUGAAUUUGUAUGCAACGAAUAGAAUAGAUUAGUAUUUAAUAUAAAAUAAUGAAAUUAUACUAUAUGAAAGUCUAGAGGAUAAACAUAGACUAUAUAAUUUAUGCUACAGAUAUUUUUGUAUCACGCUCUAGCAUAAAGUUGAUCGAAUAAAGCAGUUUAUCAUGUAUCGUAAAGACUUUAUAAAUGAGUUACAUAAAUACAUUGUCUAAAGUAUUUUAGCAUA